GUGGCUGACAGCCUUGCCCAGAGAGUUAUGGUGAAUGAAGUUAAAUCCAGCUGGGGCCAGCUACUAGUGGUGUUCCCCAGGGCUCUGUUUUGGGGCUGGUCCUGGUUAACAUCUUUAUUGAUGAUCUGGAGGUGGGGAUUGAGAGCACCCUGAGUGAAUUUGCAGGUGCCCAGUUGGGUGGGAAUGUGGAUCUGCUAGAGGACGGGAAGGCUCUGCAGUGAGACUUGGACAGACGCGAUCAACGGGCCGAGGACAAAGGCGUGAGGUUCCACAAGGCCAAGUGCCACAUCCUGCAGCUGGGCAGAAGUGGGAGAGCAGAGCAAAUGGAAGUGGCCAUAUGUUUGCCAGGGCUGGGACAGCUGAAACUUCUGCAGUGGAUUUACAUCUCCUAAAGCACAGGAGGUGCUGGGACAGGAGGUCUCCAUGCUCACAGUUUGUUCCACUGGAGCAGAGGAGAGAGAGAAAAAUGAAAGAUGAGAGUCAUAAUCUGUGAGAGUGCUCCCAGACUUCCCCAGACAGUGAAAUUUAACACUAACAGAUACAACAACAACUCAUCUCAGAGCCCAGGCUCUGCUCUGGAAUCAGGGACAGCACUGAAAAUAGGGAUAAAGAAUUUUUAUCAGCUUCAGCUGGUAAGAGAGACAAGGUGUAAAAAUAGUCUGUAAGCAUUGUAAACCAACAAGGAAAAACCUCUGUAGCUGCUUUCUUGCCAUUUUGUUCUUCAAAUUAUUGCCAUUAGAGCAGAGUGGAGUUUAAGUUUAGUAUUAACUGCUACAAAAUCCCCACAAUUACUUCCUCUUGCAAUGAAGAAUUUUUUCCUACUAUCCCAUCUAGCCCUGCCCUCUGUCAGUUUGAAGCCAUCCCCCCUUGUCUUGUCAAUCCAGGCCCUUGUAAGUAGUGUCUGUCCAUCUUUCUGGCAGCUCCCUUGAGCUAC